AUACAUGCAUGUCGAACGAAGCACUUGUGCUUAGUGUCAAAUGGGCUGAGUAACACGUACUUAAUCUACCCCCAAGUUUGGGAUAACAGUUGGAAACAAUUGCUAAUACCAAAUACAUAUAAGUUUUGCAUAAUUCUUAUAUAAAAGGAGCGUUUGUUUCGCUAGGGGAUGAGAGUGCGCUACAUUAGUUAGUUGGUAGGGUAAGAGCCUACCAAGACUAUGAUGUAUAGCGGGGCUGAGAAGCUGAACCGCCACACUGGGACAGAGAUACGGCCCAGACUCCUACGGGAGGCAGCAGUAGGGAAUAUUCCACAAUGAGCGAAAGCUUGAUGGAGCAACACAGCGUGCAGGAAGACGACCUUAGGGUUGUAUACUGCUGUUAUGAGGGAAGAAAAAUAAAAUUAGGAAAUGAAUUUUACAUGACGGUACCUCAUCAGAAAGCACCGGCAAACUAUGUGCCAGCAGCCGCGGUAAUACAUAGGGUGCAAGCGUUAUCCGGAAUUAUUGGGCGUAAAGUGUCUGUAGGUGGUAUGUUAAGUCUAGUGUUAAAGACUAGGGCCCAACCCUAGCACGCUCUAGAUACUGACAUGCUAGAGUCAUAGAGAGGUUAGCGGAACUCCUAGUGAAGCGGUG
rnacentral:rRNA from 1 species